CAGCAGCCGCGGGAAUACGUAGGUGGCAAGCGUUGUCCGGAAUUAUUGGGCGCAAAGGGCUCGCAGGCGGUUUCUUAAGUCUGAUGUGAAAGCCCCCGGCUCAACCGGGGAGGGUCAUUGGAAACUGGGAAACUUGAGCGCAGAAGAGGAGAGUGGAAUUCCACGUGUAGCGGUGAAAUGCGUAGAGAUGUGGAGGAACACCAGUGGCGAAGGCGACUCUCUGGUCUGUAACUGACGCUGAGGAGCGAAAGCGUGGGGAGCGAACAGGAUUAGAUACCCGCGUAGUCCCUGUCUCUUAUAC
rnacentral:rRNA from 1 species